UAAUCCCAGUGAGAGUCAAGUUGGGAAUUGAUAAUUUCUUCUUUUUUUUUUUUUUUUUUUUUUUACAGAAGAUAAGUUUAGUAUACAUUAAGUAAAGCUUUCAACAGUUUGCACCCCCAUAGAAACACAAAGUGAAAUAUACUGUUUGAGUACUCAUUAUAGCAUUAAGUCUCAAUGUACAGCACAUUAAGGACAGAGAUCCUACAUGAGGAGUAAGUGCACAGUGACUCCUGUUGUUGACUUUACAAAUUGACACUCCUGUUUAUGGCAUCAGUAAUCUCCCUAUGCACCAGUCAUGAGUUUCCAAGGCUAUGGAAGCCUUUUGAGUUCUCCGACUCUUAUCUUGUUUAGACAAGGUCAUAUUCAAAGUGGAGGUUCUCUCCUCCCUUCAGAGAAAGGUACCUCCUUCUUUGAUGACCUGUUCUUUCCACUGGGAUCUCACUCGCAGAGAUCUUUUGCCAGAGUGUCUUGGCUUUCCAUGCCUGAAAUACUCUCAUGAGCUUUUCAGCCAGCUCCGAAUGCCUUUAGGGCUGAUUCUGAGGCCAGAGUGCUAUUUAGGACAUCUGCCAUUCUAUGAGUCUGCUGAGUAUCUCACUUCCCAUGUUGGAUCACUCUCCCCUUUAUUUACUCCAUCGGUUAGCGUUAGCAGGUACUAGACUUGUCUAUGUGCUCCCUUUGACUCCCAGUCCCUCCACCAUGACCAACUGUGAACUGAAACUGAUCACCUGGAACAGUGAGAUGGCAUUGGUACAUGCCACCUCGAUGGGAUUGAAUUGGAAUCCCCUGGUAUGCUUCCAACUCCACCACUUGGGGCAAGUCAGCCUGAGCAUGUCCCAAAUUAUACAUCUCUUCCCUCUCCCAUUCCCACCACCAUGUUCAACAGGGAUCACAUUUCAGUUAAUUUUCAACACUUAAGAAUAACUGUGCAUCAAUUACAGAUCUAAA